UGCUAUUCUCUUCCACAGGUCUUGCAGAGUAUCCUUCCCAAGUUGCAGUAACCAGCGUGGAUGUGAAGGGACACGACAGUUCCCCUGCUGUACCAUGGGCGACCUACUUGUGAUGUGGACCUGAACCUCCGCCAUGUAGCAGACACCCCCCCUCAGGUUUUGCGGAGUAUCCUUCCCAAGUUGCAGGAACCAGCGUGGAUGUGAAGGGACACGACAGUUCCCCUGCUGUUCCAUGGGCGACCUACUUGUGAUGAGGACCUGAACCUCUGCCAUGUAGCAGACACACCCCCUCAGGUCUUGCGGAGCAUCCUUCCCAAGUUGCAGUAACCAGCGUGGAUGUGAAGGGACACGACAGUUCCCCUGCUGUACCAUGGGCGACCUACUUGUGAUGUGGACCUGAACCUCCGCCAUGUAGCAGACACCCCCC